rnacentral:rRNA from 1 species
AACGAACGCUGGCGGCAGGCCUAACACAUGCAAGUCGAGCGAGAACUUCGGUUCUAGCGGCGGACGGGUUAGUAACGCGUGGGAAUAUGCCCUUCACUACGGAAUAGUCCCGGGAAACUGGGUUUAAUACCGUAUACGCCCUUCGGGGGAAAGAUUUAUCGGUGAAGGAUUAGCCCGCGUUGGAUUAGGUAGUUGGUGGGGUAAUGGCCUACCAAGCCGACGAUCCAUAGCUGGUUUGAGAGGAUGAUCAGCAACACUGGGACUGAGACACGGCCCAGACUCCUACGGGAGGCAGCAGUGGGGAAUCUUAGACAAUGGGGGCAACCCUGAUCUAGCCAUGCCGCGUGAGUGAUGAAGGCCUUAGGGUUGUAAAGCUCUUUCAGCUGGGAAGAUAAUGACGGUACCAGCAGAAGAAGAAAAGGAGAAAGAAGGGAAAGAAGAAGAAGGAAAAC